CAGUCGAGUAGAAGCGGUCAGUGCCAGAAAUGGCAUGGGACAUUGCUCUGGCG
ncrna:unclassified sequences NMT1 RNA